ACCUGAAAAAAGGGGAAAACACCUUUCCAUUCUUUUUUUUUUUAAAUUAAGAAAUUUAUAAUUAUAUAUUUUUUGCUACUAAUAUACUUGUAAUUAUAUGACUUUAUCAUCUUAUGUGAUUUUGUUAAUCUUCUAUGUAUCGUUCUAAUUUUUUGGAAUCUUCCUAGAGUAUUGUUUAGCUGUGUUUGUCCUUUUAUGGUAAGCGGAGGGUCUAUUGUAAACCAUGUCUCUGUCGAGGGUCUAUCAGGAACAGUGUGUCUUCUCCCAAAGAAUACAGGUAAGAUCUCACUCCUGAAAUUAUACAGGAUAUAUUGUUGUCGUCCUUUUUGGAUCAGCAUUUUUCAAAUAUUUGAAUUAGGGUUUUUGCUAGCAUGUAUAAUAUUAAUCUAAAGUUAAAUAGAGUACUAGGUAAAAAUAAAAUUUUCUAGGAGGUUCA
rnacentral:lncRNA from 1 species